GGCGGGGGCCGGCCGGCCGGAGCGACCCACGAGCCAGAGCGGACGCGGUACCUGCUGCGGCCCCUCGGCGCGGACGGGUCCUUCUUCCCGUGGUUCGCCGGGGGAGGGAGCCGCGGCGGCGGCGGCGGGCGGGUCCCGCCGCCGUCCCCCUCCCUGUCCGAGCUGAGGGAGAGCGCCCUGAUGGUGCUAAACGAGUUCCUUUGACUCCGCUUCUUCUCCUCCGAUCUCGCGUAUUUGGUCGCUUUCGAACCUGACGAGCGGCUUCAGUUUAAGAACGCCUCCUUCAUGUCAAGCAAACGGUUACUACUAAGUCUCGUUUGUGUAGUGUCCGAUUUCUUCUUCUUUCGAUUCGUUUAGGGUAGGGGAGACCCCUAGUUACUUCCCGGCAGGUGAUCGUUCUUGUGUUUACACCUGAACUUAGUACUAAGACGUUACUUACGACUCCCUCGGCCAAAGGUCCCCAUGGUCCUGGUAGGUCUUGGACCCUUCGUACUAGUCCGACCACAUCUACUUCUAUACUACUGGAGGUUAUAGUUCAAUAGUCAAAUAUCCCUAUGUCUUUUAAGGGGCCGGUCACUACUAUUCUCCCGUCGGCGUACCGUUCUGGCCCAUCGGAACGUCCAGAUCAGGGCGGCAUCUUUACCCAUACCGUACCGUAGGAAGAGACCACCAACUGACGUGGGGACGGACCAAAGCAGUUUAUAACGGGCCACGAGACAUUUACUUGUUAACUAUAUUCCUAUGAGUACGAAGUACAAAUGUCAAGUACGAGACAUCUCCGUACCUGACUCUAUCAAACUGUGUGAAUCUGUUCAAGCUAGGAUAAUGUUACAAUGCUUUGUAGGUCGGACCUAAAGCUCAAUGCCAAGAAACGGAUACGAAAAAGAAA
rnacentral:rRNA from 1 species